CAAAGUAUACCUCUGAUAGUUGCUUAGCAACCUUCAGUUGCUCCCUAUUGCCUUCCUGUUAAGUCUAGGCUUCUUAGCCUGACAUUCAAAGAUCUUUCUGAUUCUGGCCCAACUUACCAUGGUAGCCAUACCUCCUGUGAGUCUCCUUUACCCUAUCCACCCUGGGUUCUAUGGUCAAACUGAAUAUUGCACUGGUAAAUACCUGUGGUUGUCUCCCUUUCCUUUUCUCUGUCAUUUCCUGACCCUGAGCCACUUCCCUCAUAAUCAUGGAAGCCUUUAGCGCCUGAUUCCCUUCUUGCUUUCUUGAGCAAUAUCUGUUUCAUUUGGAUGACUCAUCUGACACUCUACAGCUCCUCAACUCCAGUGACUUUCAUUCUCCACUACACUCAGCAACCCAUUUCCAUCAUUCGGAGCUAUUCCACCUCUGAAAGCUCACAUCCCAGCAUCCCACUCGGUGACCACCACUUCUCGUCCUUCUAGUUCUCACCCUUGCAUCCCAUGACAUCUGCUCUUUGCCUGCAUCCAGAUCUCCAUCCCUCCAUUUCCUGCAUCCCUUGACCUUGCUUCCUCUCUAUCCUGUCUGUGGUUGCUCAGUUCGGCCACUCAUCAUCAGCACCUUCAGCUUUGCCCAUCCUUUGGCCAUAUCUGACUUGCAAACCCCUGAGCUGGAAUUGAUCCUCCCCAUUCUGCUUCCCCUGCUCCUCAGCCCGGGUAGCUGAGCUCUGCUGGAGAAAACCACAUAGCCCUGCGGAUUGCUGCCACUGCAGAGCCCCUCCCCCUCUCCCAUUUCACCCUAGCUUCCUCGAGCACAUGGAGGCAUCCGGCAGGGCCCCCUCGACCUGAGGUCCAGCCCUCGUGAACUGAUCUGCGGCUGCACUCAACCUUCUCGCCAGUCUCAGGAUGAGGUGGCCUUGCCCCACCUCAAAGCCUGCUCCUCCACCUGUGCUCUGGAGCCACCUCUGCCAGCAUCGCUGGGGCCUCACCCCAGCCUCUACCUUGCUCUGCUGGCUCUUGCUCUUCAACCUAGGAACGUGCCUGAGCUUUUCUCAUCUUAAACAAAACAACAAUAACAGCAACACAAGCAAAAUCUCCUUUGACCCUGCAUCCCUCUGUUGGGUUAUCAUCAGCUUAUCAUUCCCACCCUUCCCAUCAAAACAUCUCAAAAGAGUAGUCUACACUCAACACUCUCCAUUUCCUCACUACCCUCUUACUCCUCAACCUGCUGCAAUUUGACAUUCACCCCCAGAGUUGCUUUGACCUCCUAAUUACCAAAUCAGUGGGCCCUUGUCAGUCUCUGUGUCUGCUGCAUUGAUGCUGUUUACCACCCCCUCCUCAAAAAAUGCCUGUGCUUAUUACUAGUUCCUAUAAAGUGCUGAAACCCAAAUCUGUCUAGCCCUGGCCCCUCCCCCAAGAUUCAGCCUCCUGUACUCGACUACAUGUCAGACAUCUCCCCUUGGAUGGCCCACAGGCACCUUACUGUGACCAAAAGAGAAUUGGUCGUCUCAGUCCCCAUCUCAACUCUAAAGUGAUCUUCCUCCUCUGUUCCCUAUCUCACUUGGUGGCGGCACCAUCUACCCUGUCCUGUUGACUCUCGAAUACUUCCCAAAUCUGAGGUUUUGUGUUGCCGUGUCUACUUCCCUUAGUGUCUCCUUCCCUCUAUCAGACUAAGCUUUUCAAGGGCAAGGACUCUACAUCAGCUGUCCGUGCCCUAGCACACCACACAAGUCUAGGCACCAAACAGGCCUCAGUAAAUGUCGUUGAAUUGAACCGUGCUCUGCUCUCUCAUUCCCAGCAGUGCUGUCCUUGGUGGGAGCUGACCCAGUGCCUGGGGAAUGAAUGAAGUGGGAGUCUGGAUGCCAAGACCCUCUUAGUCCCUGAUCCCCCUAUUGAGUCCAAAAGUCUUUCUUUAACCCUGAUGGCAUUUGGGACACAGAGGUAUUUGUAAGGUUUUAAAAGUGGCUUUGUAGACAAAGUCAGUCAAGGCAAGACUUCCAGGAGUUGGAACUGAACAGCCACAUUGCCAGAUGUGUGCUCCAGACUAGAAGUGAUGUGGAUGGGUGGGCAAUUGGGAGGAGAACCAAAAGGGCCUGGAUGAGUCAGAGUUUCAAGAGGAGGCAUUUGAACAAUUCAAGCAGGAGAAAGAAUAAAGCAAGUUUCAAAGUCCAGAAGGAACAUGGCAUGUGUAUAUAAUGGGAGGGAGGGAGUGACAAGAGCAGCAUGGAGAGGUUUGGAUAGGUGGCCUUCAAGGUACUUUCCAAUCCUAAGUGCCUGCAGAGUGGAAGCUGCUGGUCUCGGAGAAGUCUGGACCACAGAGAUCUUCUCCCAACCCAAGCAUACCAGAGGGAUGCGACACAUGCCGGCAGUAACAGCGGCUCACUUGGGUACGAUUUCUUGUGCACAGAUCCUGCCUUUCCCAGAUAAGCAGUGAAUCUAGUCCUAAUCACCCCGUUACACAGAGUGGAGAACAGAGGGGGUUUGCCCAGGUAUUAUGCUGCAAGUCAGAGCUGGGGCCAGAAUCCAGAUAGCCUGUCCUUAGUCCCAUGCUCUUCUGUAAUACUCCACUAGAUUGUAUUAUUGCAGAAAGCAUCUGUUAAACACAGAACUUGGCUUUUGUUUUCC
rnacentral:lncRNA from 1 species